rnacentral:lncRNA from 1 species
CUAUUAUGUAUAUUGCAAAGAGGAGCAGUUUGACUUCCUAGAGAGUAGUGAAGACACUGUUUAUCAUCUAGAUGGAUUGAGCUAUGCGAUCAGAGGCAUUGAGAUGGUCAGUUGGAGGACACAUGAUGGUGUAGUGAGGAGAUUGGGGGAGGUCCGAUACAUAUCUGAUUUCAUGCAAAAUCUUAUCUCACUUAGUAGAUUAGAUUCGAGAGGCUAUAGGAUGGUAGCUGAUGAAAGAAUCCCGAAGGUGUUGCAUGGUAAUAGAAUUAUUUUGGAGGAAAAGAAGAAGAUAAGAGGAUAUUACUACCUGGCGGGGAGCUCAGUGCGAGGUGAAGCUUCAGGAGCUAGGAGGAGUGCAGAGCGAGGUGGAGCUCCAGGUGG